rfam:Gossypium raimondii chromosome 10, whole genome shotgun sequence.
CAUUGGUGAGAAUCCAAUGCCCCGAAAACCCAAGGGUUCCUCCGCAAGGUUCAUCCACGGAGGGUGAGUCAAGGCCUAAGAUCAGGCCAAAAGGCGUAGUCGAUAGACAACAGGUGAAUAUUCCUGUACUACCUCUUGGUCCCUAUCAAUGCAUUAUAAAUAAAUAAUAAGUUUGGAGAAUUGAAAUUUAAUUCAUUCCAUCCAAUUUGUGAGUGAAACUUUUAGUACAAAAGUGUUCUUUCUUUUUUAUGAUAUAUAUUUAAUUUGAUAUAUGAAUUUAUUUGUUUAUUCAUGAUAUUAGUAACUAGCAUUUGGAUGAUAUUGACG